GCGAUGAGCUAAUUUGCAUAAGACGAACAGACAUGCAUCAUGCUAAACGCCGAAAUGUGGUCGGCGGUCUUUCGCCGCAAACGUAAAGCCCUCUGCCAGGACAGGGGGC
rnacentral:sRNA from 1 species